GGAGUUAGCCGGUGCUUCUUCUGCGAGUAACGUCACAGAUGUAAGGUAUUAACUUACACCCUUUCCUCCUCGCUGAAAGUGCUUUACAACCCGAAGGCCUUCUUCACACACGCGGCAUGGCUGCAUCAGGGUUUCCCCCAUUGUGCAAUAUUCCCCACUGCUGCCUCCCGUAGGAGUCUGGGCCGUGUCUCAGUCCCAGUGUGGCUGAUCAUCCUCUCAGACCAGCUAGGGAUCGUCGCCUAGGUGAGCCUUUACCUCACCUACUAGCUAAUCCCACCUGGGCUUAUCCAUCAGCGCAAGGCCCGAAGGUCCCCUGCUUUCCCCCGUAGGGCGUAUGCGGUAUUAGCAGUCGUUUCCAACUGUUAUCCCCCACAAUGGGCAAAUUCCCAGGCAUUACUCACCCGUCCGCCGCUCGUCAUCUUCAAAGCAAGCUUUUGAAAUGUUACCGCUCGACUUGCAUGUGUUAGGCCUGCCGCCAGCGUUCAAUCUGAGCCAUAUCAACUACUGA
rnacentral:rRNA from 1 species